GAAAAAAAAGAGGCUACAAGUUGAAGGGAAAAAGUUAAAAAAUGGAGCAUUUGGAAUCAUGGUGACUCUAGCAGUUAAUCAUUUUUAAUUUAAUUUUCUAACCAAACAUAUUAAACUACUAACAUUUACUCCCAGUCACAACAGUUGAACCAAAACUCCUUUUGAGCUUGUUUGGCAUUGCUGUUUGAACUAUUGUUUAUAAGCACUAUUUAAAAAAUGUUCAAGGACCUUUAAAUUUUAAUUUAAAUU
rnacentral:misc_RNA from 1 species